rnacentral:lncRNA from 1 species
ACUCCUGGUGCUUGAGGUGCACCUGUGUUGCGGCGUGCUUUAAAAAAUUAUCCGCUCCCGUUUGGAAAGUGAAAGACAUAAUAAUAGUAAUAAUAACAACUGUUAGUGUUUAUGGAGGAGAGUCCACCAUUCCAGACAUCAUGCUAAGUGCUUUUGGGGCAUUCGCUCAUUUAAAUUUCAACCUGGGUGAUCACAGACAUCUUCUGGAAUACUGAUCCUGAAACCAAUUUUAAAGCAAAGUAUAGACAUCCCCACUUAAAAUAUAAAACUUUUAAACAGAAAUAUAACAUAGAGAAAAAUGCACGAACCGUAAGUGUGCCCCUCAAUGAGUUAUCACAGGGGAGCACACCUGUGUGACCAGGUGAGCCUGCUCAGCUCCCUGGAAGCCACCCUGGGAUCCUGCACAACCUCUAACCCCCUCCUCCUUCCCAAAGGUAAUUGCUGACUUGGUACAUCAUGGGUUAGAUUUGCCUGGACUGCACCACAUUUUAUUUAUCCAUUCUGGAGUUGACAGAGGAUUUUUUUUUUUCCUCCUGGUUUGGGUAGCUCCACUUUUUACCAUUUUACUAUUAUUUUAUGUCUGUGUGCAGCUCACAGUCAAAAGUGCUGGAUUCAUGUCCUGGAUACUCUACUUACCAGCUCUGUGAACCUUGGGAAAACUAGCCUUUCUGAGUCUCAUUUGUCUCUGCAAACAAUAAUGCCUAAUUUCCCUUGGUUUCCUAUUCAAUCAGCAAGCGUUUAUUGGUCACCUGCUAUGUGCCAUCAUUCUAGGAGAUUUAGCAGUGACCGACACAAAGAUCCCUGCUCCACACGUUUGUACCUUUGUCCCUUCAGUUCCCUUUCUUUGGGAAGCUCUUUCUUCCCAGAUCCAUCCUUCUUCUUCCUUACUCCCACCCACAUUUUUGCUUCUUUAUUUUCUGCUCAUCCUUCUAGACUGAAGUCUGACAUCCUUUCCUUUCCUCUAGGAAGCCUUACAUGGCCCCUGGCAGAGCACUGGCCACUGUUUACUGAAAUGUUGGGGGCUUGGUCUGCACACCUGUCUCCCCCGUGAUCUGUGAGCUUCCUCAGGGCAAGGGCUGAUUUCCUGCACCUUUGGCAUCUGCAGUGCCUAUCCCAGGGUUAAGCUCAGGGUAAAGUCUUAGUACAAGUUAAGAACUUUUGUUUUAGCCAAAUAAGCCAGUGUGAUGGCCACUCAGGUCAUACCUGCUGAGUUAGCACAUCAAGACGGUAGUCCUGCCCCUGAAACCAGAACUUAUUCCAGGUGGUUUUCAGGGGGUUCAGCCACAUUACGGGGGUGAUUAGGUAUAAGGAGCCCUGGAGUUCUUCGGGCCAAAAAACUUGCUCUCUCCAAGCCUCUAUUUUGUCAGUUAAAUGGCUACCUUUUCAAGGUUAUCUGGGAGACUUAGAGAAAGUAUACUCGAAGUGCCUGGCGUCUAAGAAUAACGAUUUCAUUGACUGAAAGCUUAUUAUAUAUUCAGCUUAAAAGGCACUUUACAUAUUUUAACUAAUUUAAUCAACACAACAGCCUGU